GAUUCCAGCUCUCGCGCCCGACGAGGUGGAUUUGGCUGUCCACCGAGCUCCGGCGCCUGUCGUUCUAAUUGGGUUUGGAUUUGCACCGUUAAGGAGGGGGGAAGAGAAGGAAGAGGCGGGCGAGGAAGGCGAGUCCAGCUAGCGGCUGUUGCGGGGACCGUAGCCCCAGCUGCAGCUCCGAAGAAUCCCCCGCCACGGUUUCGGUGGAGCGUCUGGGCACGGGAUGGAGUGAAAGAGCGAGUGCCUCUCCAAGCGGGGGUGGGAGGGGGUCAGGCUGUGCAGAGGAGAGAGACAGCGAGAAGAAGCCGCGGCUGGCUACUGCGAAUUUGGGAUUCGAUUGGGAGGGACCGCUCACUCGGGGGAAAUGGAUUCUUUACCACGGCUGACCAGCGUUUUGACUUUGCUGUUCUCUGGCUUGUGGCAUUUAGGAUUAACAGCGACAAACUUGAGGCUCUUAAUAGAAUGGCAAGAAGAACAAGAAGUAAGAAAGCCUGGAGAACAAGAAGUAAGAAAGCCUGAAAGACUCAAACACUGUAUAAUUUUUCUCUGAAUAAGCUAAU
rnacentral:lncRNA from 1 species